AUAUUUGGGGUGAAAUCCUGGCCCCAUUGAAGUCAGUGGGAGUCUUGCCAUUGACUUCAGUGUGGCCAGGAUUUCACCCAAGAUAU
rnacentral:pre_miRNA from 1 species